rnacentral:ncRNA from 24 species
CGCUGCUCGACAAUGCCCUGAGCAAGAAGCCGCAGGUUGUACAGAUCGAGCCGACCGACAAGGCAUUCAGGACAUCCGGAUGCCAGCCCUGGCAGAUCACCGGCGAGGGCACCGCGCCGGCGGAAGUUCCGGGGCCCGCGGCAGGUGCCCAGCUGCAAACCGAUCUGGCGAUCCUCAACGGGCUGCUUGGCCCGACCGGCCAACGGGUG